AUAGGUCUCUGUAUCACAGUAGCUAUAGGUCUCUGUAUCACAGUAGCUAUAGGUCUCUGUAUCACAGUAGCUAUAGGUCUCUGUAUCACAGUAGCUAUAGGUCUCUGUAUCAC